AAUCUUCUAGGUACAAAUUCACAGAAGUCAAGGUAAAUAAAGUAAAAAAGGGGGCCACUGCUGGAAAUCAGGGAACAUGUGAAAGGCUCUUCAGUGUCACAUGGCUGGAGUCAGAUUAGAGUUUCAUCCUUCAGGAUUGUUUCUGCUUCCUUUGUAAAAAGGAAAAAUAAAAUGUCUAAAGGAUGAAUAAAGACACUAUAAUCCUGUAUUAGGCAGUCCAUCACAGUUCAUUUCCAUUUACU
rnacentral:lncRNA from 1 species